rnacentral:rRNA from 1 species
GAUGAACGCUGGCGGCGUGCCUAAUACAUGCAAGUCGAGCGAACGGACGAGAAGCUUGCUUCUCUGAUGUUAGCGGCGGACGGGUGAGUAACACGUGGAUAACCUACCUAUAAGACUGGGAUAACUUCGGGAAACCGGAGCUAAUACCGGAUAAUAUUUUGAACCGCAUGGUUCAAAAGUGAAAGACGGUCUUGCUGUCACUUAUAGAUGGAUCCGCGCUGCAUUAGCUAGUUGGUAAGGUAACGGCUUACCAAGGCAACGAUGCAUAGCCGACCUGAGAGGGUGAUCGGCCACACUGGAACUGAGACACGGUCCAGACUCCUACGGGAGGCAGCAGUAGGGAAUCUUCCGCAAUGGGCGAAAGCCUGACGGAGCAACGCCGCGUGAGUGAUGAAGGUCUUCGGAUCGUAAAACUCUGUUAUUAGGGAAGAACAUAUGUGUAAGUAACUGUGCACAUCUUGACGGUACCUAAUCAGAAAGCCACGGCUAACUACGUGCCAGCAGCCGCGGUAAUACGUAGGUGGCAAGCGUUAUCCGGAAUUAUUGGGCGUAAAGCGCGCGUAGGCGGUUUUUUAAGUCUGAUGUGAAAGCCCACGGCUCAACCGUGGAGGGUCAUUGGAAACUGGAAAACUUGAGUGCAGAAGAGGAAAGUGGAAUUCCAUGUGUAGCGGUGAAAUGCGCAGAGAUAUGGAGGAACACCAGUGGCGAAGGCGACUUUCUGGUCUGUAACUGACGCUGAUGUGCGAAAGCGUGGGGAUCAAACAGGAUUAGAUACCCUGGUAGUCCACGCCGUAAACGAUGAGUGCUAAGUGUUAGGGGGUUUCCGCCCCUUAGUGCUGCAGCUAACGCAUUAAGCACUCCGCCUGGGGAGUACGACCGCAAGGUUGAAACUCAAAGGAAUUGACGGGGACCCGCACAAGCGGUGGAGCAUGUGGUUUAAUUCGAAGCAACGCGAAGAACCUUACCAAAUCUUGACAUCCUUUGACAACUCUUGAGAUAGAGCCUUCCCCUUCGGGGGACAAAGUGACAGGUGGUGCAUGGUUGUCGUCAGCUCGUGUCGUGAGAUGUUGGGUUAAGUCCCGCAACGAGCGCAACCCUUAAGCUUAGUUGCCAUCAUUAAGUUGGGCACUCUAAGUUGACUGCCGGUGACAAACCGGAGGAAGGUGGGGAUGACGUCAAAUCAUCAUGCCCCUUAUGAUUUGGGCUACACACGUGCUACAAUGGACAAUACAAAGGGCAGCGAAACCGCGAGGUCAAGCAAAUCCCAUAAAGUUGUUCUCAGUUCGGAUUGUAGUCUGCAACUCGACUACAUGAAGCUGGAAUCGCUAGUAAUCGUAGAUCAGCAUGCUACGGUGAAUACGUUCCCGGGUCU